GAUGAACGCUGGCGGCGUGCCUAAUACAUGCAAGUCGAGCGAACGGACGAGAAGCUUGCUUCUCUGAUGUUAGCGGCGGACGGGUGAGUAACACGUGGAUAACCUACCUAUAAGACUGGGAUAACUUCGGGAAACCGGAGCUAAUACCGGAUGAUAUUUUGAACCGCAUGGUUCAAAAGUGAAAGACGGUCUUUCUUUCACUUAUAGAUGGAUCCGCGCUGCCUUAGCUAGUUGGUAAGGUAACGGCUUACCAAGGCAACGAUGCAUAGCCGACCUGAGAGGGUGAUCGGCCACACUGGAACUGAGACACGGUCCCGACUCCUACGGGAGGCAGCAGUAGGGAAUCUUCCGCGAUGGACGAAAGCCUGACGGAGCAACGCCGCGGAAGUGAUGAAGGUCUUCGGAUCGUAAAGCUCUGUUAUUAGGGAAGAACAUAUGUGUAAGUAACUGUGCACAUCUUGACGGUACCUAAUCAGAAAGCCACGGCUAACUACGUG
rnacentral:rRNA from 1 species